UUGAUGCCUGCUCCUUUUAAUCUUUUACGGUUUAGAGGGCUUUCUCACUGGGAUGCAGAUGCUUGCACGUGUAACUUUAUUAAAAAUUAAUAGAAAGGCUGGGACCAAACCUAUAAAUGUGAAUGGGGAUUGGC